AUUGAACGCUGGCGGCAUGCUUUACACAUGCAAGUCGAACGGUAACAGGCCUUCGGGUGCUGACGAGUGGCGGACGGGUGCGUAAUGCAUCGGAACGUACCCAGGGGUGGGGGAUAACGCAGCUAAAGCUGUGCUAAUACCGCAUGUGAUCUGAGGAUGAAAGCGGGGGACCGAGCAGCAAUGUUUGGCCUCGCGCCUUUGGAGCGGCCGAUGUCGGAUUAGCUAGUUGGUGGGGUAAAGGCCUACCAAGGCGACGAUCCGUAGCUGGUCUGAGAGGACGACCAGCCACAUUGGGACUGAGACACGGCCCAGACGACUGCGGGAGGCAGCAGUGGGGAAUUGUGGACAAUGGGCGCAAGCCUGAUACAGCAAGGCCGCGUGCGGGAAGAAGGCCUUCGGGUUGUAAUCCGCUUUUGGCAGGAACGAAACGGUGUCCGCUAAUACCGGGCGCUAAUGACGGUACCUGCAGAAUAAGCACCGGCUAACUACGUG
rnacentral:rRNA from 1 species